rnacentral:rRNA from 1 species
AGAGUUUGAUCCUGGCUCAGGACGAACGCUGGCGGCGUGCUUAACACAUGCAAGUCGAACGGAAAGGUCUCUUCGGAGAUACUCGAGUGGCGAACGGGUGAGUAACACGUGGGUGAUCUGCCCUGCACUUUGGGAUAAGCCUGGGAAACUGGGUCUAAUACCGGAUAGGACCGCGCCAUGCAUGUGGUGUGGUGGAAAGCUAUUUGCGGUGUGGGAUGGGCCCGCGGCCUAUCAGCUUGUUGGUGGGGUGAUGGCCUACCGAGGCGACGACGGGUAGCCGGCCUGAGAGGGUGUCCGGCCACACUGGGACUGAGAUACGGCCCAGACUCCUACGGGAGGCAGCAGUGGGGAAUAUUGCACAAUGGGCGCAAGCCUGAUGCAGCGACGCCGCGUGGGGGAUGACGGCCUUCGGGUUG